rnacentral:rRNA from 1 species
CAGUCGAGCGGACAGAUGGGAGCUUGCUCCCUGAUGUUAGCGGCGGACGGGUGAGUAACACGUGGGUAACCUGCCUGUAAGACUGGGAUAACUCCGGGAAACCGGGGCUAAUACCGGAUGGUUGUUUGAACCGCAUGGUUCAGACAUAAAAGGUGGCUUCGGCUACCACUUACAGAUGGACCCGCGGCGCAUUAGCUAGUUGGUGAGGUAACGGCUCACCAAGGCGACGAUGCGUAGCCGACCUGAGAGGGUGAUCGGCCACACUGGGACUGAGACACGGCCCAGACUCCUACGGGAGGCAGCAGUAGGGAAUCUUCCGCAAUGGACGAAAGUCUGACGGAGCAACGCCGCGUGAGUGAUGAAGGUUUUCGGAUCGUAAAGCUCUGUUGUUAGGGAAGAACAAGUGCCGUUCAAAUAGGGCGGCACCUUGACGGUACCUAACCAGAAAGCCACGGCUAACUACGUGCCAGCAGCCGCGGUAAUACGUAGGUGGCAAGCGUUGUCCGGAAUUAUUGGGCGUAAAGGGCUCGCAGGCGGUUUCUUAAGUCUGAUGUGAAAGCCCCCGGCUCAACCGGGGAGGGUCAUUGGAAACUGGGGAACUUGAGUGCAGAAGAGGAGAGUGGAAUUCCACGUGUAGCGGUGAAAUGCGUAGAGAUGUGGAGGAACACCAGUGGCGAAGGCGACUCUCUGGUCUGUAACUGACGCUGAGGAGCGAAAGCGUGGGGAGCGAACAGGAUUAGAUACCCUGGUAGUCCACGCCGUAAACGAUGAGUGCUAAGUGUUAGGGGGUUUCCGCCCCUUAGUGCUGCAGCUAACGCAUUAAGCACUCCGCCUGGGGAGUACGGUCGCAAGACUGAAACUCAAAGGAAUUGACGGGGGCCCGCACAAGCGGUGGAGCAUGUGGUUUAAUUCGAAGCAACGCGAAGAACCUUACCAGGUCUUGACAUCCUCUGACAAUCCUAGAGAUAGGACGUCCCCUUCGGGGGCAGAGUGACAGGUGGUGCAUGGUUGUCGUCAGCUCGUGUCGUGAGAUGUUGGGUUAAGUCCCGCAACGAGCGCAACCCUUGAUCUUAGUUGCCAGCAUUCAGUUGGGCACUCUAAGGUGACUGCCGGUGACAAACCGGAGGAAGGUGGGGAUGACGUCAAAUCAUCAUGCCCCUUAUGACCUGGGCUACACACGUGCUACAAUGGACAGAACAAAGGGCAGCGAAACCGCGAGGUUAAGCCAAUCCCACAAAUCUGUUCUCAGUUCGGAUCGCAGUCUGCAACUCGACUGCGUGAAGCUGGAAUCGCU